AACACAUGUUAUCUUAACUAGUCGUGUCUUGUCACACCCGUUAUCUUAACGGGUCCUUAACAGGUUGGGUCACUUUACCCAACAGAUAAAGUGACCCAACCCAUUAUGACCCGUUUAAACAUGUUAAGAAAAAUAUUUUUCUUCUUAAAUUUGCACAUACCACACAUUGCCACAUAAAUAUUACUUCAAAACAUUAAAACACAUUUGUUUAAGUAUAUGCACUAUUAGUCUAUUACAAAAUAUUAAAUGUGCAAGGAUAUGCAAAAUGAAAGAGGUUUCGUUAUGAAGGUUGUGAAGCCUUUCUCAAAAGUUUAAACCUUGCCAAUGGAACUCAAUUUUCAUGUUAUUCCUUUUACAAAAUCCUCAAUUUUCAUCGAUCAUCAUGACAUAAGAUUUUGUGGUAUCCACUAGUGUAAAUUUAAUUGAAGAUCGAGUUCAUUCAUUGUAUUCAUAUAGGGUCAAGGAGUGUAGCUGUAAAAAAUCACCAAACUCGAAGUUAAAAUAACCGUUAAAUCGUGAUUUUUCGUUGAUAACCAUCGAAAAGUUUUGUCCGGUUUCUUAAUCUCUGAAUGUUUGGAUUUUGCGAUUUUUGGCGUAUGCGAUCUUGAAGCAUAUACAAAUAAGUUUGACAGUUGGAUCAUUGAAAUUAGUUUCGUAAAAUGCGUAUCCCAUCAAAACGAUAGAUUCACUAACACUUGGAGUUUAUUUAUACUUUCAUUAAGUAUAUCAAAAGAUUUUGUGGUAUCCACUAGUGUAAAUAUUUUAAAUUGAAGAUCGAAUUCAUUCAUUGUAUUGAUAUAGGGUCAAGGAGUGUAGCUACAAAAAUCAUAAAAAUCGGAGUUAAAAUAACCUUUAAAUCAUGAUUUUUCUUUGAUAAUCGACAAAAAGUUUUGUACCGUUACUUGAUCUCUGAAUGUUUAUUUUUUCCAAUUUUUGGCGUAUGGGAUCUCGAAGUAUAUACAAACAUGUUUGACAAUUGGAUCGUUCAAACUAGUUUCGUAGAAUGUGUAUUGUUGGACAUGUGCCCUAAAACCAAUCAUAUGAUGAUACUUUACGGACAUUUCACAUGUUAAACUAAUCUAGUUUAAUAUCAAGGGCAAAGAUUAUUGUUUGAACCGUCUCAUAUAAAUGUUAUACGCUUAAACAAUAAGUCCAAGGAAUAUGUGAUUGGGAGAAUGCGAUCUAAAGAAGUUAGAUUCAUGAGCCCAUUCUUUUGUAGACACAUCCAAAACGUUCCUGAUCAUAGGAUUGCCAAUUGGGCAUUGACAGUCCGUUAAGAUCAGUACGUGCUGUCUUCUCUCAGGGAGAGUGACUAGUCUCGAGUCAUUGGUGUGUGUGACAUCAAGACAAGUACGUAGGUGCUCAAUAGAGAAUGAGUUCACUGAACACGAUCAAUGAAGAGUUCUCAUACUCAUGUCACAUGAGAACUCAUGGUUGGGAUAAUGCAAAGUAGUCCUUUGACCUGAGGC
rnacentral:lncRNA from 1 species